rnacentral:rRNA from 1 species
GACGAACGCUGGCGGCGCGCCUAACACAUGCAAGUCGAGCGAUGAAAUUUUAACCGAUCUCUUCGGAGAGAAGAUAAAAUGGAUUAGCGGCGGACGGGUGAGUAACACGUGAGAAACCUGCCUUUCACAAGGGGAUAGCCUCGGGAAACCGGGAUUAAUACCCUAUGACACAUUUCCUUCGCAUGGAAGAAAUGUUAAAACUCCGGUGGUGAAAGAUGGUCUCGCGCCUGAUUAGCUAGUUGGUGGGGUAACGGCCCACCAAGGCCAUGAUCAGUAACCGGCCUGAGAGGGUGAACGGUCACAUUGGAACUGAGACACGGUCCAAACUCCUACGGGAGGCAGCAGUGGGGAAUAUUGCACAAUGGAGGAAACUCUGAUGCAGCGACGCCGCGUGAGCGAUGAAGGCUUUCGAGUCGUAAAGCUCUGUCCUAUGGGAAGAUAAUGACGGUACCAUAGGAGGAAGCCCCGGCUAACUACGU